AUUCAUCAAAUCACAAGUUUGUGAGUGCUGUGUCUACAGGGUCAAUGGCCUCGGUACUGGGUAUCAAUUGAAUUGUCUUUGUGAUCAGCUGCAGGUGUAAAAGAAGGAUAUCAAACAUGAAUUAAUACCCUCUGUCCAUUUACUGGUCAAGUUCAAAUUAAUGAUGUAAACAGGUUCAAACAUCUCAAAACAAGAAAAACACAUACUGACUGAUGAAUAACACUCACUUGAGUCACUUGACAAAAAUGUUAAACUGGGGAGGGGGAUGAAGGAGGGAGUUAGCUUUAGUGAAUCUCUAGAUAAAUAAGCAAGAACCUUUUUCUGAAAAAUGACAGUGCUUGCUGCUCAAGCCUUGCAUUAAGGUACCUCACUACACUCAGACUUAUACUUUUUAAGACACUACGUCACAAGAUGGCGAUUGAAAUGUUUUGUCGAGGUAUUAGGAUUCUAAACCUCGGAUCAUGAGUUUGAAUCCGCCUGGAGUUUUUGUUAAUGUUUACUGAAUUAAAUUUUUGAAAAUGUAAUUUUUCAUACAAAAUGCACAUUUUUUGCCCACUUGACUUAAACACUUCUUAUCCAUUAUGUUAUCUAUUAUAAUCAAGUAAUUUGCUGCUGAUUUGAGAAAAUAUUUCAAGGUGUAGUGAGCCACCUUACAAUGCCAUUGUGAUUGAUUCCAGUGUAAAUAUAUAUUUCACUUGAAAAAAAAUGUAUUUUGCUCCAGAAAAGUAUACAUUACGAAAAGC
rnacentral:misc_RNA from 1 species